rnacentral:rRNA from 1 species
GACGAACGCUGGCGGCGUGCUUAACACAUGCAAGUCGAACGGAAAGGCCCUGCUUUUGUGGGGUGCUCGAGUGGCGAACGGGUGAGUAACACGUGAGUAACCUGCCCUUGACUUUGGGAUAACUUCAGGAAACUGGGGCUAAUACCGGAUAGGAGCUCCUGCUGCAUGGUGGGGGUUGGAAAGUUUCGGCGGUUGGGGAUGGACUCGCGGCUUAUCAGCUUGUUGGUGGGGUAGUGGCUUACCAAGGCUUUGACGGGUAGCCGGCCUGAGAGGGUGACCGGCCACAUUGGGACUGAGAUACGGCCCAGACUCCUACGGGAGGCAGCAGUGGGGAAUAUUGCACAAUGGGCGGAAGCCUGAUGCAGCAACGCCGCGUGCGGGAUGACGGCCUUCGGGUGGUAAACCGCUUUCGCCUGUGACGAAGCGUGAGGGACGGUAAUGGGUAAAGAAGCACCGGCUAACUACGU